GCUUGCAUAAUGCAGACAGGUCCAUUUUAAGUGAAAUGAAUUGAAUUAUUUAUUUAUUCCACAGGCUCUGUAAUGUCCAUUGCCGUAUGAUAAAUGAAACCAUGUUUGGUUUCCUUAUGCAUGUUUGAUUUCUAUACACUUAUAUUUUAUACCAAGAAAAAAACCAAUCAACACUGUCAUACAGAAACACCUCUGAUAAACACAUAAAGUGUCUUAAACAAACAUUUGACCUUUAAAAUUUAAGUAUAAACAGGAGGAGAUUUCAUGGAUUUUCUAAUUGUCUUAUCCUGCUGUGGACACUAGCAGGCAUUCUGUCUGUAGCUCCUAACGUGAAUGCACAAAAUAAUUAAUUCAGAGCCUAGGAAAAUUAGUUUAAAAGAAUAAGGUCAUUUUCAGAUCACUAGAUAUCGAUAGUGCUUUUAAUUUCAUCCUCUGCUAUAGUUUUAAGCUUUGGAAAAUUUCAAUACAGAUAGAAACAAUGGGAAGAAAUAAUCACUAGAGGAAAUAUUUCUAUUAAAAAGGUGGAUUAGGGAGAAGGUAAAAUUUCCUAGCUGAAUACAAAUUUUCCGUAUAAUUAUAGGAAGAUCUUAAAAUAAUAGUAAAGGAUCUUCCAAUAUAAGCUAUUAAAUGACUCUGUAUUUGAUAUAAAAGAUUUGGCUAAAACAUUCCAUGUGUAGCAGUGCAUAAUACUUUCUCCUGAAACUUUUCAGGGAGCUGUAUCCAGUCAAGAAAUUUUGUUCUGUUUAGACAGUACUGUGAAUAGUAAUUGAUACUUACCAAAGUUUAAGAGACUACUUGUCUUUGAAACAAUUGAUUUUCUUCUAACCCUACUGCUUUUUGUAAAAAGGUGUCUUUGGAGAUAUUGGUAAGACACAUGCAAUUACUGAAUUGACUUUAUUAAAUGAAUCUGCAGUGCUACUUUAUACCAAAAAAAAAAUUCUGAAAUUUGAUGACCUAAAAGUUAAUUUUAAGAGAAAUUGCAGGUAAUUGAUUCAAAAAUAUUUUCUUUCAAUGCUCAGAAUAUUUCAUUUCUCACUCACUGUACAUACCCACUCAUUUUACCACAAUGCAAAUAGCAUUCUUAAAUUUGUUCUGUUACAGUGACCUGUGGUCUCAAAGUCUGGAUCACAUUUUUAAAAAAGGGAUAUUUAAUUUAUCUUAAAGACAACUAUAUAGUGGCACAAAAGUGUUAAAAAAGAAUUCUAACCAAGUUAGAAUUAUGUCAGUGGAGGGUGAGGGUGGCAGCAGUGGCCUGGCUUGGAUGCCUUUAUUCAUCAUCCUGUCCAGAAUGCUGGGCUGAGUCCAGGCUCUUCAGCCAGCAGAGUUGAUUUUGGGUUGCUUAGCGAGGAGCUGUCAGCACCCAAAUGAUAGUGGCAAAGCUGAAACCAGAGGCUGUCCACAGUCAGUUGGAUGUUGAGUCACCCAGCAGGGGAUACUGGAGUCUAUCAGGCUGAGAGUCUGGAGGGAUAGUGAAGUCCAAUGAGACAACAGAACAUGCCCGCUGACAGUGCGUGUAAAGUGUGGGCCCACUGUUCCUUGAUGCCCCAGUUUGCUGUGCCUCAAAGAGCACAAAAUUUCACUGGACUCACGAGCACGUCAAAGCGAAGGAAAGACUACCUCCAGUUGAAAUGUUUAAUAAGCCACAAGUCAAAUUUGGGAGUAGUGUGUUCUGAAUCCCAUCGGUCUGCUAAGCAGCAGUUCUACUGGGAAGCCUGGCCUGAAUCUCUUCCCCAUCCUUACCUCCACUGACUUGGCAACUUUCAGGUACCCUGUUUCUCAUAAAUGUAGCAUAAGUAAAUAGAAGGAACUUUUUACUUAUCCUUGGUUUCUAGCAGUCCCUGUAAUUCUUGGAGAAGUGACUCUGUCAUCCAGCUUUGUGUCUGUAUCCCUUGUACACUGGCUAAUUUAUAAUAGGUACUCAAUGCAGUUUGAUGAAUAAAUGAACAUUUACAUGUAUUUAAUAAUUAUUGUCAUUAUACAUGCACACAAACACACACACACACACAUACCCCAAAUCAAACUGUCAACAAAUCAAAAAGCAAAGGGAAGAUCACAGAGGUACUUAUGGUGGGUUACAGUGGCCCAUUAAGGAUUUAUUUUAGUAAGAAACACCACAAGAACAGUAUUAACAAUUCUUAGUGCUUUGCUAAGCGCUAAGCUUAUUAAUAUCUGUGAAGAUGUGACAGUUAUAACCCACAUGAUUUCCUCACGUGAAAAUGAAUAAGUAAAUACAGUUUCAGAGAACAAAGUGACAGUUUUUGUAAUGUAUAAAGGCAAUCGUUAGGCAAAUACAUAUUUUUCUUUUUUGUUAUUUUCUACAUGUGAUAUUCCACAAGAUAUACACUAACCUACUAAAAAUGAUACUAUUUGGCUUAUAACAUAAAGUAAAUAUAACUCAAACAAAUUAAAACUAUUUAUAAAGCCAGUUAUUUUAAUCCAUAUCCGGGUUCAUGAAGUAUGAAUGUAAUGGCAUUCUGUCAAUAUUGCCUGUCUUGUUCAGGGGUACUGUUAAGUGAAGCUAUAAACUUUCUGUCAUAAGGGAUACAUAUUAUUUUCUAAUUAAAAAUUGCUUCAGUAGUCAAAGUAUGACUUUAUUCUUAUUAUGAAAUUCAAAGAACACAUGUACCUAAAGUUAAUUGUGAACCAUCUUCACUUGGUGGAACCCCUUCUGUUUGUAAUCCCUUCCCAAGAGGUAACCACUGCUAGUAUUAUGUUGCUUAUCUUGAAGUCCUUCUGUUUUGGAUGUAUACCUGUAUCUCUCUAAAUGUAGUCUUUUUUUUACCCAAAAAUUAUACUGUACAGCUCCACCUGUAAAAUUCUCAGUGACAUCUCUAAUAAACAUGUAUGACCUUACAUUUGGAGAACUCUUUCUCCUUUUCUAUUUAAAAAUAAUUUAAUUGAGAAUUCACUCUUUUUUCCUUGCUUUUCCCACACCUGGGAAGGAUUGACCCACCAUGUUUCCUAGGUGGACUCUGAUUGUUUUAUCUAAUUAGUUGAUCCUCCUCCAGGCCACAGUGACCAGCUUCUAGUUGGGCUCUAAACCCAUCUGCGCUAAGGAGAAGGGGUGACAUGACUGAGAAUUGUGAGAAGCUGUAAUAGAUACUUUGGAAAGUCAAAGGGUGAGACCUUUCUCCACGCUAGACCCAGUUCUCUAUUCUUUAAAAAUAAGCAACAAAGCAGAAAUUUCAGGGCAUUCUUGAUUCAAUAGACCAAUGAUCCGACAGAUUAGUGCCCAAUAUUGCCUGUUCAAAAUAAUAUUACACAACACCAAGAUGUCACUUUCUAGGUUCGGUGUGUUGCUUCUGAGAGUUCCUGUUUUUUUAGUAUUUGCAAGCUGGACUACUUCCCCUUGACCACAACACUCAGCCAUACUUUUUGGCAGGCAGCCUGGGCUUCUGCUUCAAAGGAGGAGGGAUAUCCUACCUCUCUCUCAUAAUGCUUUUUAAGGUCAAAAUGAUUGACAGUAAUGACAUCCAAUCAAAACUCAUUAUCCAAUUUGAGAUGGGUUUCAUGAGUCAGGUCUUUCUCUGGCCUCCAUAACCAAUAUUAAACAGUAAGCUAAAACUAUUAUUAGAUACAUAUUUCCCAUAAGAAUUACAUGUUUAUCACAAUCUUAUGAAUUGAUUUUUCUCCCACAAAGAUAUCUAUAGAUCUUAGGGUGACUUUCUCGAGAGUCAUAUUUUCUCCUUACCUUUUAAUCUAGAGAAAAGGAAAACUUUAUUAAAUAUAUGGAGAGCAUAAAGGAAACUUCAGGCCUAUAAUGGAUAUGACCAAGUGUUUCUCAUAAAAGAUAGAAAAGCCAGCUUCUUUCAUGAGAACUAUCAGAUGGAACCCUCUUUCCACUGGAAAUGAUCAAGGUGAGGGUAGUAGGAUGUGUAGUCUUGUUGCUUUUGAGAAAUCUCAAUGCCCACUUGGCUUUAAUAAAUUUUUUCAGGUAAGCAUUUUUAAAUGUUUUCUUAAUUGCAGCCGAGUCCUGAGUGUUAAUAGAGAACCUGCGAUAGGAAGGCAUGAUUUCUUAUCCUCAAGGAGUUUAUAAUAUAAUAGUGGAGCAGACUCUGGAUUAGAGGACUAUAAUUGCUAUUUUGGCCUCUGUAACAUCACAUAGCCAAAGCUGUAAUCUAAUGGAUAGAGGUAAAUGUGAGAAAUACCUGAAAUAAGAGAGGAAUUGUGAGGGUUUAUGGAUAAAAAGCAUCCUUGUUGUGGGAAUAGCAAGAGCAAAGACCCAGAAGUAGAUUAUGCCUGGCAUGGUACAAUUAUAGCAAGGAGGCAAGUAUGAAGGAGUAAGCCCAAAGUAGAAUGCUAGUUACUGAAGUCAAGAUAAUUACAGGGGGCCAAAUCACCUCAGGGCGUAUAAUCCAUUGUAAGUACUUUAGAUUUUACUCUGUGUGACUUUGGAAGGCACUGGGGGCUUUUGAGCACUGAAUAACAUGAUCUAAUUUGUGUUUUGCAAGGUUACUCUGGCGGUAACAUGGAGAAUAUCUGUGGAGGCAAGAAUGGAAAUAGUGAGACCAGUUCAAAAGCAAUACCAACAAUCCAGUGAGUCAUAAUGAGGCCUUGACAAGGGAAGGGAGCUAGAGAUUAUGAGAUUUAAACUUGAUUUUUAAAAAGAGUCAUAGGAUUUGCUCAUGAUUUGGUAUUAACAAAGAGAAGAGGUAAGAAAAACACCAAGAGUUUUGGCAUGGGUUGUGAAAAAAUGGAGGUACCAUGUAUAGAGAUGGAAAGUCUGUAAGAAGGCAGUUUAGGGAGCUUGGGAAUGAUGAGCUUGAGUUUGGAUGUACUGCAUUUGAGAUGCCUGUUGGACAACCAAUUAGAAAUGAGAGUAGACAGGAAAAAAAAAUAGUCUGGAGUUUGAGAAAGGUCUGGAUUGCUGAGGUACAUUUGGCAUACAUAAGCAUGUAUUUGGGAUUUAAAAAUAUGGGGCGUCUGAGAUCACCGAGAGAGAGAGAUUGUAGACAGAGAAGACAAGAGUUCUGGAGAUAGGGCCCUGGGGACACUCCGCAACAUUUAGGGUUGGGAAGAUGAGCAGAAAUCAGCAAACGAAACCAAGAUGGAGCAGCCAAAUAGGGAGAAGGAGAGCCAGGAAAGAGAGGUAUCUGAGUAGCCAAGGAAUGGAAGGGUUUCAAGCAAAGCUAACUUUUCAGUUCUGCCAAAUACUAUAAAUGGGUCAAAUAAGUUGAGGUCUGAACAUUGACUGUUAGUUUUAGCAUGUAGAGAUCCUAAAGGCCUUGACAAGAGCAAUUGGGUGCAGUGGAGGACAAAAAAAUUUAAAGUGGGUUUAAGCAACAGUGGGCAAACUUGGAGGGGGAGGUGGGUUUUGGAGCCUUAAAAUAUCAAUCAUCAUUAUUAGGAAUUAUUUUUGAUAACACUCAAUAAAGGAAUCAUGGUUAUUAUUAAGCUUUUAUUUUGCUAAUGGAAAAACAAUCUGACAGUGAAAAAGAGCAAAUGCUUUGAAAAAAACAAAGGAACCAACUACAGGAGUGAGUUCCUUCACUAGGAGAGGGAGGUGGUAUUUAGUAUAGAUGAGGUAGAGUUGGCCUUAGACCAUUAAGAUUUUAUUUAUUAUGACAUAUUGAUGACUGGAAGAUAGACAAAACAUUUGGGUGCAGCUAUUCAUAGGUUUGUUGACUUAGUGAUGGGAGUGGAAUUCCCUGUGCAGCCAUAAAUGGAACAAAUCAAACAGGACAUGGGUGUUAAAAUGCAACCAAAUUGAGAAUUUAGUGAAAAUAGCAUCUUAGAACCAAAAGUGAACAUGAAAUCACCCAAGGAUUCCACAGAAAUCUUCAGGAAGCCUUUGGAUUUCCUUAGCUGACAUCUGGGUUGUUUUAAACAUAUAGAUUCUCUCUCUCUCUCUCUCUCUCUCUCUCUCUCUCUCACACACACACACACACACACACACACACAUCCCUCUUAUUAUGAAUGAGCAAACAUUUGAUCUAAAGUCAGAUAAUCUAAUACCAGUGUUGAUUGACUGUGAUACCUUGUGGAAAAUUGAAUCUUCUCUCUGAGCUUCCAUUUUAUCUGCAAAAUAGAUGUAAUAUUUCAUUUCUAUAUAACUUGUGAACACACAUCUAUCUAUUCAAAUCCCUUGUGGAUAUCUCCAUUUGAUUUCCCAUAGAUAUUCCAAAGAUAUAAAAUCAGAAUCAUUGCUCCUCUAAUUUCUCCAUGAUAUCACCAUUUUUGAAUGAGUAGACACUGUCAUGGACCAGGUUACCCAACUCUUCCACCUGUAGUAUUUAACCUAGAUCUCUACUGUCCUCCCUGGCACCUCAACUCUAACUGAUAAUUAAUUGAUAGAUUAAAUUACCUCCAUAGUAUGUCACCUUACCAUAAUGUAUGUUUAUGUUUCAGAUAUAUGAAGUCUAGGUCUUUGUAAAUGCAAUAGCUUACCUUCCCACACUUUUCUUUGGACAUUGUUUUGACUUAAUAUUGUUUCCUGAAUUGUGUUUAUGUUGUCAUUGUUGUGUUCUAAUUUUUUCUCCUUCCAAAAGAUUUUGUUUUUGUUUUUUUAACUUAAAAAAGGAAUACCUCAGCCCCUUUAACCUUUCUGUUUCCAUUUUUUCUCUCUGGAGUUUCUAACAUUUUUCAUAAAAUAUUUAUCUACUGUAUAUUUACAAAAAUAUACUAAAUGUAUAUUAAAUAUCAAACAUCUUAUAUUUUGUCUGAGUUGUAGAGUACCGACCUUCAACUUUGAAAAAAGGUUUCCUGCAUCUGGAUUUCCUGCUUGCCCCUGCAUUUGAAUAAUGAGUCAAAUAGCCUUAUGAGUAAUUGUAUCUUUUGUGCAAUUAGAACUUUCCACGGCAUUAUAAUUUAUAGUAUGGUUGAAUUGAGCAAUAUGUAAUGAGUCCUUUUACAGAGGCUUUUAAGGAAGUUAUUUCUGAAGGUCUGCCUAAGAGGCUAAAAUACAUCUGAAUUAAAAAGAAUGACAGGCUGCAAUCAGGACUAUAAAAUAAAGGUGCUCAGUAAGCAGCCCUAUUACAAUCAGAAAGUGAAGGAAACGUAUCUCUGUCUUGUGUGCAGAGACAGAGGAAAUGAUGAAUACUUUAGGUAACUCAUUCUGUGCAAAAUCAAUCUUUCACUGUCAAUUUUAAAUGAACUAAUUUGUUCACAAAUCUGCUCAGUCAGUUUGGAAGCAUACUCUGUUCCUUCAUAUUAGCAAAUCCUUUAAUCUUGACUAGUCCACUGAGUAAGAAAUCUAGAAAUGUGUUAAUAUGAUUGGACAUAUGUAGUAGGAUAAGAAUUGAUUCUUUUAAUU